rnacentral:hammerhead_ribozyme from 1 species
AUCCAGUUGACGAGUCCCAACUAGGACGAAGUGGGUGUCCUGGAU